rnacentral:rRNA from 1 species
UACGUAGGGUGCGAGCGUUAAUCGGAAUUACUGGGCGUAACGCGUGCGCAGGCGGUUCGUUGUGUCGGCGGUGAAAGCCCCGGGCUUAACCUGGGAAUGGCCGUCGAAACUGGCGAACUGGAGUGUGGCAGAGGGGGGUGGAAUUCCGCGUGUAGCAGUGAAAUGCGUAGAGAUGCGGAGGAACCCCGAUGGCGAAGGCAGCCCCCUGGGCUGACACUGACGCUCAGGCACGAAAGCGUGGGGAGCAAACAGG